GGAAUGGCCGGCAGGGAGGAGGCACCGGUGGCAGAAGGGAAGCCGGCUCUGGCCGGGGAAAGGUGGUGCCGGGACCAGAAGGCCGAGGGGGUCCCAUUUCCCUCGGUAGUGGCGGUCGGCAAAGGUCACGACAGCAGCCAGCGGCAGGCGGCGGAUGCUGCAGUGGUGGUAGUGCUCCGGCAGAACUCCGGUGAGGGAGGUGGCCGGGGAAGGUCCUACAGA
rnacentral:lncRNA from 1 species